AAUGGGCGCAAGCCUGACGGAGCAACGCCGCGUGCAGGAGGACGCUUUUCGGAGUGUAAACUGCUUUUCUGUGGGAAGAGGUAGGACGGUACCACAGGAAGAAGCCCCGGCUAACUACGUGCCAGCAGCCGCGGAAAUACGUAGGGGGCGAGCGUUGUCCGGAGUUACUGGGCGUAAAGGGCAUGCAGGCGGUCGGGCGCGUUUUGUGUGACAGCGGGAGGCUUAACUUCCCGAGUAUGCGAAAGACGGUUUGACUUGAGGGCUCGAGUGGGACACGGAAUUCCGGGUGGAGUGGUGAAAUGCGUAGAGAUCCGGAGGAACACCGAAGGCGAAGGCAGUGUCCUGGCGAGCGACUGACGCUGAGGUGCGAAAGCUAGGGGAGCGAACGGGAUUAGAUACCCCGGUAGUCCUAGCCGUAAACGAUGACCACCAGGUGUAGGAGGUAUCGACCCCUUCUGUGCCGGAGGAAACCCACUAAGUGGUCCGCCUGGGGAGUACG
rnacentral:rRNA from 1 species